rnacentral:rRNA from 1 species
UACGUAGGGUGCAAGCGUUAAUCGGAAUUACUGGGCGUAAAGCGUGCGCAGGUGGUUCGUUAAGACAGUUGUGAAAUCCCCGGGCUUAACCUGGGAACUGCAAUUGUGACUGGCGGACUAGAGUUUGGCAGAGGGGGGUGGAAUUCCUGGUGUAGCAGUGAAAUGCGUAGAUAUCAGGAGGAACACCGAUGGCGAAGGCAGCCCCCUGGGCCAUGACUGACACUCAUGCACGAAAGCGUGGGGAGCAAACAGG